CAGCAGCAGCAGCUGCAGGAGUUGUUGCUGCUCUCCUGGUUAUAAUGCCACUCGCUGUCUUCUUCUGGAUUAGGAGAAAGAGGUCCUCCAGACAUUCUCCUAGACCUGAAACAUCAGACAAUAUGGAGCUAAACCCUGGUUCUGUGUAUGAAAACAUCUCAACUCAAGGCACAGAGCAGACUGAUCAUCACUAUGGCAGACUUGACUUCUCUAACACCCAGAAAGAUCUCUACUCCACCAUCAGCCCCGAGAACAGGAGCAAGACCCCCGUUCUGCUGUCAACUUAAGAUCCAACACACUGGAUGAUGGA